rnacentral:rRNA from 1 species
GGGGUGUGACUGCGUACCUUUUGUAUAAUGGGUCAGCGACUUAUAUUCUGUAGCAAGGUUAACCGAAUAGGGGAGCCGGAGGGAAACCGAGUCUUAACCGGGCGUUAAGUUGCAGGGUAUAGACCCGAAACCCGGUGAUCUAGCCAUGGGCAGGUUGAAGGUUGGGUAACACUAACUGGAGGACCGAACCGACUAAUGUUGAAAAAUUAGCGGAUGACCUGUGGCUGGGGGUGAAAGGCCAAUCAAACCGGGAGAUAGCUGGUUCUCCCCGAAAGCUAUUUAGGUAGCGCCUCGUGAAUUCAUCUCCGGGGGUAGAGCACUGUUUCGGCUAGGGGGCCAUCCCGGCUUACCAACCCGAUGCAAACUGCGAAUACCGGAGAAUGUUAUCACGGGAGACACACGGCGGGUGCUAACGUCCGUCGUGAAGAGGGAAACAACCCAGACCGCCAGCUAAGGUCCCAAAGUCAUGGUUAAGUGGGAAACGAUGUGGGAAGGCCCAGACAGCCAGGAUGUUGGCUUAGAAGCAGCCAUCAUUUAAAGAAAGCGUAAUAGCUCACUGGUCGAGUCGGCCUGCGCGGAAGAUGUAACGGGGCUAAACCAUGCACCGAAGCUGCGGCAGCGACGCUGAUGCGUUGUUGGGUAGGGGAGCGUUCUGUAAGCCUGUGAAGGUGGCCUGUGAGGGUUGCUGGAGGUAUCAGAAGUGCGAAUGCUGACAUAAGUAACGAUAAAGCGGGUGAAAAGCCCGCUCGCCGGAAGACCAAGGGUUCCUGUCCAACGUUAAUCGGGGCAGGGUGAGUCGACCCCUAAGGCGAGGCCGAAAGGCGUAGUCGAUGGGAAACGGGUUAAUAUUCCCGUACUUGGUGUUACUGCGAAGGGGGGACGGAGAAGGCUAUGUUGGCCGGGCGACGGUUGUCCCGGUUUAAGCGUGUAGGUGUGUGUUCCAGGUAAAUCCGGUUCACUUUAACACUGAGGCGUGACGACGAGGCACUACGGUGCUGAAGCAACAAAUGCCCUGCUUCCAGGAAAAGCCUCUAAGCAUCAGGUAACAUCAAAUCGUACCCCAAACCGACACAGGUGGUCAGGUAGAGAAUACCAAGGCGCUUGAGAGAACUCGGGUGAAGGAACUAGGCAAAAUGGUGCCGUAACU